rnacentral:rRNA from 2 species
AAAUUGAAGAGUUUGAUCAUGGCUCAGAUUGAACGCUGGCGGCAGGCCUAACACAUGCAAGUCGAGCGGAAACGAGUUAUCUGAACCUUCGGGGGACGAUAACGGCGUCGAGCGGCGGACGGGUGAGUAAUGCCUAGGAAAUUGCCCUGAUGUGGGGGAUAACCAUUGGAAACGAUGGCUAAUACCGCAUGAUGCCUACGGGCCAAAGAGGGGGACCUUCGGGCCUCUCGCGUCAGGAUAUGCCUAGGUGGGAUUAGCUAGUU